UGCGUAGGUGGCGCUGUAAGUGGGGUGUGAAAUCCCGGGGCUUAACUCCGGAACUGCAUUCCAUACUGCGGUGCUUGAGGACUGGAGAGGAGACUGGAAUUUACGGUGUAGCAGUGAAAUGCGUAGAGAUCGUAAGGAAGACCAGUGGCGAAGGCGGGUCUCUGGACAGUUCCUGACACUGAGGCACGAAGGCCAGGGAGGCAAACG
rnacentral:rRNA from 1 species